rnacentral:rRNA from 1 species
ACACCGAUAGCGAACCAGUACCGUGAGGGAAAGGUGAAAAGAACCGCAGUGAGCGGAGUGAAAUAGAACCUGAAACCAUCUGCCUACAAUCAUUCAGAGUCCUAUGAUUUAUCAGGGUGAUGGACUGCCUUUUGCAUAAUGAUCCUGCGAGUUAUGAUAUCUGGCAAGGUUAAGCCAACGCGAAGCCGUAGCGAAAGCGAGUCUGAAAGGGCGUUUAGUCAGAUAUUGUAGACCCGAAGCUAAGUGAUCUAUCCAUGGCCAAGUUGAAGCGAGUAUAAUAGCUUGUGGAGGACUGAACUCGUGCCCAUUGAAACGGGCUGGGAUGAGCUGUGGAUAGGGGUGAAAGGCCAAACAAACUUAGUGAUAGCUGGUUCUCUUCGAAAUAUAUUUAGGUAUAGCCUCAAGUAAUAGUAAUAGGGGGUAGAGCUCUGAUUGGGCUAGGGCUGCUCACCGCGGUACCAACCCCUGUCAAACUACGAAUACCUAUUACCGUAUCUUGGGAGUCAGGCGGUGGGUGAUAAAAUCAAUCGUCAAAAGGGGAACAACCCAGACUACCGAAUAAGGUCCCCAAGUUCUAUUCUAAGUGG